rnacentral:rRNA from 1 species
UACGUAGGGGGCAAGCGUUGUCCGGAUUUAUUGGGCGUAAAGAGCGUGUAGGCGGUUCGGUAGGUCCGUUGUGAAAACUCGAGGCUCAACCUCGAGACGCCGAUGGAAACCCUCGAACUAGAGUCCGGAAGAGGAGAGUGGAAUUCCCGGUGUAGCGGUGAAAUGCGCAGAUAUCGGGAAGAACACCCGUGGCUAAGGCGGCUCUCUAGUACGGUACUGACGCUGAGGUGCGAAAGCGUGGGGAGCAAACAGG